rnacentral:rRNA from 1 species
GCACUCCGCCUGGGGAGUACGACCGCAAGNUUGAAACUCAAAGGAAUUGACGGGGACCCGCACAAGCGGUGGAGCAUGUGGUUUAAUUNGAAGCAACGCGAAGAACCUUACCAAGUCUUGACAUACUGUGAGGACACAAGAGAUUGUGUUGUUCUGACCUUUGGUUAGACACAGAUACAGGUGGUGCAUGGUUGUCGUCAGCUCGUGUCGUGAGAUGUUGGGUUAANUNNNNNAANNNAGCGCAACCCUUAUAUCUAGUUGCCAGCAGUAAGAUGGGGACUCUAGAUAGACUGCCAGUGAUAAACUGGAGGAAGGUGGGGAUGACGUCAAAUCAUCAUGCCCCUUAUGACUUGGGCUACACACGUGCUACAAUGGAUAGGAACAAAGAGAAGCGAGCUCGCGAGAGUAAGCAAACCUCACAAAACUAUUCUCAGUUCGGAUUGUAGUCUGCAACU